CAGGGAACCAGUCAACUGUUUUGAGGCCCUCAAGCCACGGCGGCGAGCGUCCCAGCUCCCACAUCAGAGCUGAGUUGCUGGGGAAAAGCCUUCCAAGAAUUUGAUACAGCUGCUGUCACCGGAGAAGCGGGAAUCUCGAGGGAUAAAGGCUUCCCUUCCAUCAGAUUGGCCUGUAGGCAAGCCAGUGGGGCAUCUUCUUAAUUGGUGUUAGCUGUGGAAGGGUGCGGCCUGUUGUGAGUCACACCGUCCCCGGGCAGUCGGUCCUGGGAACUAUCAAAAAGCAGACUGAACCAGUCACCAAGAGCGAGUCAAGAAAAAGUAUGGCUUCUGCUUCAGUUCCUGCUUCCAGGUUCCUGCUCUGACUUCCUUUCAUCUUGAACGUUCUGUAGCUGUGCAUCCAGGUUCCAGGACUUAACAGUUCUUCAUUUGUCACCGAGACCACCUCUAGGAACUUGCUAUAAUGUCCCCUGCAUGCUCAUCUGUUUGAGCAUUUGGUCCUGAGAUGGUGGCAGACACAGUUUUAGGAAGUUGAAGGGAAGACUCAGUGGAGCAGGUGCCUCUCUAGAGGGCAUGUUUUGAGGAUCCAACAGCCUACUACAGUUCCAGCCUGAACUCUGCUUCCCAGUCUUCCAAGAGCAAGUGACUCACGCUCCCAUCACCAGGCCUCCCUCGCUGUGAUGAUGUCUCCCUUCUCACCGAAAGAUGGCCAUCAAAGCAAAGAGAGACAAAGGCCCCCAGGCACAUCUGGAAGCUAGAGCCUUCUGUUUGGAAGCUGAGCGGUACGAUGAAGCCGCGCACUGGCUGGCGCUCAUCUGUGUCACGCACAGCACACUGGGGCCUGAGUUGGUCUGCCAGCUGAAGAAGAUGAGAGGCUGUAAUUGCAGUUCUUCAAAAGCUUAAUUAACAAGUGAAUGCAGUAGCGAGCCACUUAAUUAAUGGCUACAUAAUGAGUAUUCUGUACAACCUGUGUUUCACCGACCCGUUUAGCCACAUGACUCAAACCUGUAACUAAAUUUCACCUACAGUUACUAAAAUUCACGUGACUUGCUCCUUCCCUAGUUAAUUCCCAUGCUUAUCAAGAUAACCAAGCUGAUCAGUGAA